ensembl:lncRNA
GACGACGUGGACAGCAAUCAGACGGUUAGUUUCUUUUUACUGUCUAUGGUGAGUACCGAUAUUUAAUUAAGUUUUAUUUUAUAACGUUUGAACGGUGCGAAGUUUACAUAGUGAGAACUGCUAACUAUGAAUUAAUAAUUAAUUCCCACCAAAUUAAGAAUUCGUGAGCUAGUUUUAUUAAUUACUACGAGGUUACUUCGUGGCCAUGAUUUCAUAAAUCCUUGUUGAGUUUUAAUGACGAAGUAUUAUAAGUGAAUCUAGCCAGCACGUUAAUUAAACUUAUCAGAUGACAAGAGCAUGGUUGAUGUAAGGUUUGUAAGAUUUACCUGCAGCUUAAUGUAUUAGUGUGAAUACUGGCUUAAUACUCGUUGUUUUACCAUAUUUAAGUAUAAAAUAUCUUUCAUAAUUAAACUACACUGACUGCCUAGUUGUGUUAGCCUGUUGUUUUGGCAUUGUAUUGCAAUGAUGAAUGAGGCGUUUGGCAGUUUUAAUAGCUUGUUACAAUUUGGCCUAAUCUGCAGGCCUAACGUACUCCACAUACAGUCCAUUGUUAUCAUGUGUUAGUUUCUGUCAUGUUCUGCAUGGCCAAUAUGAAGUGAUUUUAUGGAUUUGGUUAGGCUCAUUGUAGGACAGAUGAUUUAAAAAGGCACUAGGGAUAUUUUCAUGAUCUCAAAAUAUUCUAACAAGUCUUCCUUUCUGGUCCAGAUUAUCAUUUCAGUGAAGUGGAAGAAUUUAAUAGAAAGAUUGACAAACAAUUGAGGAAAGAAGGGAGAUCAUUCAAUUGAGUUGAAGCCUACAGCCAUUCUAUCCAUGCAGCAACUGAUGGAAAAGGGGUUCGCUUUGGUGCUGUUGUCGCAAAAAUGAUGUAUAUAUAUAUAUAUAUAUAUAUAUAUAUAUAUAUACAUAUACAUAUACACUACCGUUCAAAAGUUUGGAAUCGGUAAGACUUGUAAUGUUUUUAAAGAAGUCUCUUCUGCUCAUCAAGGCUGCAUUUAUUUGAUCAAAAAUACAGAAAAAAACGGUAAUCUUGCAAAAUGUUAUUAUAAUAUAAAAUAAUGGUUUCUAUUUAAAUAUCCUUUAAAAUAUAAUUUAUUUCUGUGAUCAAAGCUGAAUUUCCAGCAUCAUGACUCCAGUAUAAAGUGUC